UGAUUACCUGUAGGGGAGCACCAAGCAAUGAUAAACAGUUAUAAGAUGUAAUUCCAUCACCAUAACACCAAUUAAUACUGAAUAUAUUACAUCACAUAUAUUAAGGCCCUAAAUAAGAUAUGUUGGAUGAAUAUUUCAUAUACUAAUCAAAAAAAGAUAACAUUCAGUGUGCUUCCUGGCUAUAGCCUUCCACUUCUUCACAAUUCUCAACUCAGACAUGCAGUUGGCAUGUCUGAGUAUCAUGUGAACUACAUCAAGAAAGGCUCUUACGGUAAUCAGUUUACUGAUAUAUGAAGAGAGCUUUCAGGAACAAUAGCCAGACAACCGAAUUCUACGCAGACAAGUGUAAUGUUGCUCUUCAUUGUGUGUGGUGAGCAGGGAAAUAAAUGUAGUCAGAGCCACAAUUAUUGGCACCCUUGAUAAAGAUGAGCAAAUAAAAUACAAAUUCUGUAUGGAGGAAUGGUCUAAGAUCCCUCCCAAUGUGUUCUCCAAUCUCAUAAAUCAUUUUAGUUCCGUUAUAAGGUCAGACAACUGCAGUUGGCGAAAAGGCAUUUUUUUUUAUAGGUAUUACGUGUCAAACAAAUUCUUUCUCUGAUAAAUUGUAUUAGUAUAAAAUAAUAUAAUUUCCCCCUUUCUUAAAGCAUACAAUAUACCUCAGUAUUUGUAUUAUUUAUUUUAGUCUUUUUUGCUCAUCAUCAAGGGCACCAAUAAUUGUGUAUUCUGUUCUAUAGAGGGCAGUGUCAGAGUAACUUACUGGGAUUUUGUUGGGGUGCUGGUCACGGAUUUGAUGCACCUCUUUGCAACGAUCAGCUGCAGAUAAGAAUUUGUACAUAUUUACACAGGGAUGUCACGGUCUCUUUCUCAAUGGAGCACUGUAUUUUACAAUAUAUGAAUAUAAAAUACAGAAUUAUAGACACAUCUAUGAUCAACAUUUUGAACCACACGAGAGGCACCAAUGUGUCCACACAUGGGGUGCAUAGCAACUAAAGGCUGUUUUUCCUAGAUCUGUAGCAACAGAUGGAAUUUCCAGAGUUAAACAUCCCUGUGAUCGGGUAUGGUAACUCGUACUUCUAUGGGUAAGUGAAGAUGUCAGGUAAUGUAAGAGUUUUUCCAAUAGGUUUUUAUAAAUGAAUAAAAUGCAAUGUUUUAACCUAGGCAACAUCAAAUGAAGGUCAACAUACUUUCCAAUAGAGCAAGCAGCGAUGAGCGCAAAACCUGUCAACCGUGAUAAAACUAAGUGCUUUAUGGCCUUUGACAGCCUCAAAAAAGUGGCAGCAGCAUUCAUCUAAAUGAUGUCACCAUAGUCUAGGACAGAAGAAACGUCGACUGAUAGAGAUGAGACAAUCAAUGAAAAAGUCUUUCUGAUCAGUUGGAAGAUAAAACAGAAUAGCCUACAGGCUCUCCAAAAGGUAGAUUGUGAGCUACAAGUACCUCGCAGCCCACCUAUGAGUAGCUCGCCAAGCAAUUCUGAAAGUACAUACAUUUUUUCCACUUAUUUUAGCGCAAAUUGUCAAAAAUAUUAGGUUCCCGGCUACUAUCCAAUCAAAGCCACAUUGACAUUAUCCCACCCAUGGUUAGCCACUAUUGGCUUAAAAAGACAAAUGUAAACUGUACCUAUCUGCCAAUUAAUUUCCAUCAAUAUUGCCCCGGUCUGUUUGCGCGCAUUUGUUUAUUAUUCCAUGUAGACAGUUAGCAAUGCUAACUUGUGGGUAGACAUACCUUCCCCAAUAACCUUCUCAAUAAAAUGUUAACUGCAAAGUUGGCCUACCUGAAAUAACUAUAUCAUGAUCAGAGUAUGUGAGCGGAGCAUCCCCAAUUUCACUGGAGCAUAGCCGUUUCCCAAAGGCUGGAGGGUUGGCCGCCUCGCCCGCUCCAUUUUCACUCAUUUUAGGAGCUCAGGGAAUGCCCGGCACAGCAUGCAUUUGUAGGCUACUUGUGUGUUGCUAUAGCCCCUUGCUUUAGCUACUGUCAUGGAGUUGACUAAAUAUCAUGACGUGCUGCAGCAGUAGGCCUAACAGAAACAUCGCUAGACCAACACAUACCCCCCUUUGCUUGAUGCGCAAUAAAAAGGUGUUUGAAUGUCCAAAUCUAUUCGUUUUUUCCCCAGACCUAAAUAAUUUACUGUCUUCUGAUUUCAGCAUCGACAUGGGCUCAGAAAAUUCAUUUGUUGUUUCUCUAUGACUAAUUGUUCUAUUGAGAGUAAAAACCUAAACCAGGAAAAAUAAAAACGAAGAAAACUGCCAUGCCAAAUACUGUUUAGUAACCAUUAUUUCGUCAGGAAUAUUGACAUAUAGUGUACACCAAGGACGAGUUGCAGGAUAGAGAAGAAGAAUUUGCCUAUUUAAAAGCUAUUUAAAAACUGAGUAGCUCAGGACAUGUAAUUUUUUUUAAAAAGUAGCUCUCAUGCUAGAAAAAGGUUGGAGACUCCUGAUCUAGCCAAAAGUAUGUCUCCUUGAUAUGGGGUGUGCAACUGCAAACAUGAUCAACAUAGAAAAUCAUAGGCUAUGACUUAAACAGUCAGAGUUCUCAAAAUAGGCAUACUGGUUUCAGUAAUGCCAAUUGUUGUCCACAGUAGUCCAGGGCUCUACAGUGUGAGUAUUUCACUCGCAUUUGCCCCUAAAAAUAGAUUUGUGGGAACUGGAAAAAUUCUUAACGAGCACAGUGUGCAAUUAAAGAUUACAACCUACCGUAAUCUAUUUUUCCCCUGCUGCUAAUUGUUUAAAAACUACAAGUCCCACAUUCCACAAGCGGCAUGCGCCAACCACAGUAGAGUUUUCUGUGAUGACGCAGACCAGUCAGAGAAAGGUGAACUGGAAAAUAGUAUCAGUAUAGGCUAUAAAGUUAACUUCUCUAGGGUAGGGGGCAGCAUUUUCACGUUUGGAUGAAAAGCAUACCAAAAUUCAACUGCCAGCUACUCAUCCCUAGAAGAUAAUAUAUGCAUAUUGUUAGUAGAUUUGGAUAGAAAACUCUGAAGUUUCUAAAACUGUUUGAAUCAUGUCUGAGUAUAACAGAACUUAUUUAGCAGGCGAAACCCGAGGACAAACCAUUCAGAUUUUUUUUUUUUUUUUUAGGUCACUGUCUUUUCAAUGAGUUUUCAUUGGGAAACCAGAUUUCUAAGCGAAUUGCUUGCAGUUCCUACGGCUUCCACUAGAUGUCAACAGUCCUGAGAAAUAGGUUGAGGUUAUUCCUUUGUGUAAUGAAGAAAUACGGCCAUCUUGAAGUCGAGGCACUCCAGGUGUCCUGGACAUGCGCUUCAAUCAAACAGAAGGCAUGCAACAUUUCUUUUUAAUCCUGUAUUGAACACAUAUUAUCCAGUCUUCAAUUUUAUCAAUUAACGGUAAAAAAUACCUAAAGUUAUUACAAAAGUAGUUUGACAUUUUUUGGCAAAGUUUACAGGUAACCUUUGAGAUAAUUUGUCGUCGCGUUUGAGCAAGUUGGAACUGGUGUUUUUCUGGAUCAAACGCGCCAAAUAAAUGAACAUUUUGGAUAUAUAGACGGAAUUAAUCGAACAAAAGGACCAUUUGUGAUGUUGAUGGGACAUAUUGGAGUGCCAACAACAGAAGCUCGCAAAGGCAUGAAUUAUAUUUUUAUUUCUGCGUUUUGUGUCGUGCCUGCAGGGUUGAAAUGUUCUCUCUUUUGUUUUCUAUGGUGCUAUGCUCAGAUAUUAGCAUCGUAUGCUUUCGCUGAAAAGCCUAUUUGAAUUCUGACAUGUUGGCUGGAUUCACAACCACUGUAGCUUUAAUUUGGUAUCUUUCAUGUGUGAUUUAAAGAAAGUUUCAUUUUAUAGUAAGUAAUGUUAAUUUGGCGCUCUGCAUUUUCUCAGGCUUUUUGCCAAGUGAUACAGUAGCGUCUUGCCUAAACUCAGAUUUUUGGAUAUAAAUAUGAACUUUACCAAACAAAAAAUACAUGUAUUGUGUAACAUGAAGUCCUAUGAGUGUCAUCUGAUGAAGAUUAUCAAAGGUUAGUGAUUAAUUUUCUCUAUUUCUGCUUUUAGUUACUGCUCUCUUUAGCUGGAAAAAUGGCUGUCUUUUUCUGUGACUUGGCUCAUACCUAACAUAAUCGUUUGGUGUGCUUUCAUCAUAAAACCUUUUAGAAAAUCUGACACUUUGGCUGGAUUUACAACAAGUGUAGCUUUAAAAUGGUGUAAAAUACUUGUAUGUUUGAGGAAUUUAAAUUAUGGGAUUUCUGUUUUGAAUUUGGCGCCCUGCAGUUUCACUGGCUGUUGACGAGGUGGGACGCUAUCGUCCCACAUACCCUAGAGAGGUUAAUUAACGUGCAGACAUCGCUAAAAAUGAAGCCCAUUAAAUUUUAUUUCAAGCAAAAGAGAGACGAGGAGAAAGAGGAAUCCGGCGAGGGGGAUUCGCAACUAAUGAAGCCUCUUCACAAGGUUUACCUGAGGAGGCUAACGUUGACAUGGCGGCUAACGUUAGGGAUGCUGAAAACAACAUUAAGCGAAGCUAUCGUGACCCCCGUGGUCACUAGCCGGUGGAGGGAGAACAUAUAGAUUCAAUGCGAAUUGGCUCAAAAUGUUCCCAUGGCUAGAGUUGGAAAACAACAUCAUGUUCUGCAAAUAUUGUAGAGGGCAGAAACAAGCGGGCAACUUGUCCUUCGUGUCAGGAAACCCGCAUCUGAAAAGAGAUAGUGUAGCGAAACAUAACAUCUCGCGGCGGCAUAUCCAGUGCAGAGAUCUGUACUUGUCGAGACAGGUAGAAGCCAUCAGGCACGGUGUCAGCAGCCUUGAGGAGGCAAGUGCUGCUGUCUGAGGAGAAGAUGCAGAUGAAAAUAAAGAUAAACGUCGCAUGCUUCAUUGCGAAAGAAGAAGAACCUUUCGUCAAAUUUGGGCCGCUUAGACUCCACCACAAAAACGGACUUGACAUUAAUCCCACAUACGACAAUGAUGUAAGACGUGUGGAGAUGAUCGGUCAAAUUGUUGACAUAACGAGAGCCUGUCAGCGAAGCUGAAAGCCGCGAAAUAUCCUGCCAUUCUAAUAGACGGAGACAUUGGUAUAUCCAACACCGAAUGCGAGAUUGUCUAUGUUAUUGGAGGAUGGGAAGCCAGUCAAUCUCCUGGUCGGACAACAGACCCUUGAGCACUCUCAUGCCAUUGGUAAGUAGUUCCUCUUUAUAUGCUGUAUUCUUGUGUCAAGUUUCAUCAUUAUUCAUAAUGGAGAUAAUUUAGUUUGUCAGAAACAAUUUGGUAUAAUUGUUUUCUGGUGUUGUCCUUCGAGGUGUUUUGGAUGCCACAUUUUGUGUUGUUUGCCCAGAGAAGGAUCAUGGAAGAGGUAUAUCUCCUUCGGGGCAGAUGGUGCCUCCGUGAACAUGGGCCACCGUGGGGGAGUGAGGCAGGGGGGCAUAUAAUCCCAAUCCACUGUAUGCCACAUAGGUUUGUAACUAAUAAAUCCUAUAUGAUUUAGUUUUAUUUGCUAGCAGAGAAUGUUAAACAAUACUGUGUGUGUCUGUGCUAAGUGCUGGAAUUGUAAAUACCACAGAAUUAUUGUUUUCUGUUGGCACAAGAGACAGGGGGGGAAGGAGACGGUGAAUUGUUUGGAAGAUUCUGUUCUGACUUCCACAGACUAGAGCUGGCAAUACUGACCAUUCAGAAGAAAGAGCCAAAUGUGUCGGUCGUGUACUGAAUCUGAAUCUGAUAUGAAGGCGUAUCACUUCAGCGGAAAAUCCAAACGAGAGCUCUAUGUUCUCGGGCAAGAGCUCGGUGUGGCUAUUUGCACACUGUCUAGCGUCAAGGGAACUCGCUGGAUCUCCCAUGUCCACAGAGCCCUCAAAGUGUUCCUACGGCAUGGACAAGACAAGGACCUUGUUCUGCAGCACCUGGCCGUAGCAUCAACAACAGCGGAAGUUCAAGGGCGUGCAAAGAAGGUCAGUUUUACACAGGAAAUGUAAUACCACACUAGUAAAAAAAAAAAAAAAAAAAAAAAUAGGUUCAAGACUCAAAUGAACUUUCAGAAUCAAGUAAUUGACAGGUGACCGUUUAUUUACUGACUACUUAACAGAUAAAGCGGGAAAUGGAGAAUGCACUCGUGUAUUCUGCCAUUUUCUUUCAGACAUGUUCGAGGAGCUAUCCUCACAAUGCAAAGGAAUGACCUGAUCCUCCCCCAAGCCACAGAGUUGAGGAAGACAGUGACCAGACUGUAAGCACUAAAGCUUAGGGCAAAGGCAGGAGGCAUGCUGGAGAAUAUCCAGACCAUGCUUGCUCAGCAGCAGGGUGAUGAGAAGAGAUUCCAGGUGUGUUAGGAUGAGAGCUUGUUAAAAUGUAAGAGAAAUUGAUGAUUAAAAUCGAUGAUUAAGAUAGAUUCUCAGUGUAUUCGUUGCACAGUAGAACAAUUUGAGGAUAAGGAGGGAAAUGCAGUGGAGAAGUCUUUACUUUUUUUUUUUUUUUUUUUUUAAUGGGAGACAGACAAAUGGCCAGACAUUUCAUUGUGUGUUGGUGUGUGUGUGUUAUUUCUGUUAAAAUUGAAUAUCACUAAAGGGGAAUCUGAAAGGCUUUACGGACCAUCACCAAUCCCCAGCUGAAGCAACACAUGGAGGCGGCCAUCAACAUCGGCGUGGAUGAUCUCAUAACCAGGUUCGGUGGUUUGCUGAAGGAUGAGGGUGUCCAGACCCCAGUGGAGUCUUUCAGAGUGCUAAACCCUGACACAUGACCAGGCCAGCCUUCUCACCUUUGGCGAUGAUGGUGUGGCAUACCUGAUGAGGCAUUUCAAGGAGCCUCUAGAGGCAAAAAUUUAUUUGACACUGCACUGCCAUUGAAGACAAUGUUAUUUUUGCAUAUUUGCAAACUCACUUGCUCUGUUCAAUCCUGCAGAUCAGGGUGCAACAUGGCUGCAAUCCAGGAUGAGUGAAAGGGCCUGAAAAUCCUGGUCAGCCACAAUUUCAAGGACAAGUCCUACAGUGGCCUGUGGGAGACCAUGUUGACAAAGGACCCCUACAGGCACGAUUACAUGAACAUGCUGGAGUUGGUGCAGCUUAUGCUGGUGCUGCCCAUUUCAGCCGCCCAGUGUGCGAGGCUUCUAUGCGCACAACCAGAUUAAGAAUUCGACAAGAAGCUGCCUUGGGGUCUCCACCACCGAAGACCUGAUGAGGAUCAGCCUGGAGGGGUCUUCUGUCGAGGAGAUCGAUACCACUCCUGCCGUGGACAGCUGGCUGACCUCUUAGCGUGCCAGACGGCCAACAUACAAAAGCAGCUGGACAACUGAUAUUCUUUGCGUCUAGUAGGCAUGGGUCAAUGUGUGAUUUUGGUGGUAUGUGCUGUUCCACAGAUGUGUCCCUUAGUACACACACGCAGUAUAAAUGUAUGUAAUAAAUUGUUAAUAAACUCUGUUACAAUUUUCA